ACACUUUUGUUGGAGCCUGAAUGCAAGAGCCAUUCUCACUGGGAUGCCACAGCUCUGGAGACUUCUUAUAGAUGUUGUUUGGAACACUCCAGGCUUGGAGAUGGGCCUUUAGACACUGCCUGUAGUACUGCUUAGCAACAGCUCUACAGACAUAAAGAGAUUGCAGUGGCUGCUCCUUCCUGGCUCCACCAUUCAGCAAGAGCUCCACAGAGGAUGAAGAGAUCCUCCUAGCUUGGCGGAAUACUCUGCUCUGAUGGAAGUACCAUCCUGGUCCAAACAUGAAAGAAUUCCCAACAUCAAGAUUGAUUGAAACAUAUUCAAUGGAUCAUUUGCUCCAGAAGAAGCUGGUUGCCAUGUCUUGAGGACAGUAAACCCUCUGGGGAGGUUCCUGUGGUAAGGAACAAGGGCUCCUGGCAAUAGCCUCUGAGUGAGCCACCUUGAAAAUGGAUUGUCCAGCCCCAGUCAAGCUUUCAGAUGACUGUAGCUCCUGCCAAUGUCUUCACCACAACCUCAUGAGAUCCCAAGCUACAACCACUCAGUUAAGUUAUGCCAAAAUUCCUGAUUCACAGAAAUUGACAUACAGGAGAGGUCACAGUUAAGAUCUUGAUGUUCUAUCUUGACCCAUAAUAUAGGAACUUCAUCUUUUGGGAAGCACCAGGGAGAGCUGCCUGUGCCUGGCAGAAGCUGCCCAUGCCCCACUGAUACCCCACAGUACUUCCUGUUCUGCUUAGUACUCCUGCUUCUUUCUACAAACAACUGUGAUUCUCUACCUGGGAGCUUCCUCUGGCCACAGGAGCCUGCUCACCUGAUUGGGACACCCUAGCAGUACUGGCUCAUAGAUGGAAGGGACUUGCCUUGUCGCUGAUGAGACUUUCGACUUGGACUUUUGAGUCAAUGCUGGAAUGAUUCCCAUAAUCCCCACGUGUCGUGGGGUGGAGCCGGUGGAGAUAAUUGAAUCAUGGGAACACUUUCCCCCAUGCUGUUAUUGUGAUUGUGAAUUCUCACGAGAUCUGAUGGUUGUAUAAACGCCUUCCCUCUUCGCUGGGCACUCAUUUUUCUCCUUCCUGCCACCAUGUGAAGAAGGAUAUGCUUGCUUCUUGUGCCAUGAUUACAAGAACACACUCAGAAAUUUUCUCAACACAGUUUCUAUGCAGAGAAGAGAUGUGGGACAGAUUUGAACUGCUGUCAUAUUUGUAUGAACCCAAGACAUUUUCCAAGACCAAGAGGGAUAAAGACAGCAAUUUCUAUGACUGGCAUUUUACGUGCAUGCACUGUUUCCAAGUGUUCUUGUGUUCUGUGCCUUAAACAUUCUGUGUUGCAACUUUAUGAAUUGAAUUAAAGAUAAUCCCAAGCCCCCAAUUGUCUCAAAAAGUGAAAAAGUAAAUGUUAUAGAAAGAAAAGCGGGAAAAACUUUAAGCAUGAAAUAAAAGAUGGGUUGUGAUAAAAGAGGACUGAAGAAGGAAAAGGAAUGAAAGGUUCUGCCAUCCUUCAUGGCAGCCCACUCCACUUGGUAUGAGAUACUGCUCCCUUGGCUGAAAGUUAACUGCUGUACUCCCUCCACUUUCUAUAAAUGACUCCCUGUGCCUUUCCUUCACCACACAACUCACACUCUCUUCCUUCCUAGUGAGUCCACUAAGGCUUCACUGCAUUAUUACAUUUAUUUCAUUUAGGAAAAACUGACUUUAUUUUCCUUCAAAUUGUUUUUUAUUGUUUAUAUGAGCUUGGUUUUAUUGUCAUUCUAUUUUUCUCCAUGAAAAUAGAGAAAAAUAGGGUCGAAAGGUUAGGUUGGGUGGAAAGGAAUUAUAUUUUUUCUCACUAAAAUUGAUGUAAAUAUCGUUUUCAAUUGAAUGAUUUUACACAGUGGCACAGUUUCAGGUAUGUUGCUAAGCAGGAAAGUUGUUAACCAAAGCAUGAAUGUAUUAAGGAGAUGUAUGCAGAAUGACAUGCAAGGUUAUCUAUGAUUGCUGAGUGAGAAAGAGCAAGUUGCUGAGUAUUAUAUAAGUAUGAUCUCACUUUUGU
rnacentral:lncRNA from 10 species